rnacentral:lncRNA from 1 species
AUUGAAUUGUUAAGUGAAUGAGUGAAUGGUUGUCUUAUUGGAUAUCUUCUGAGAUGGUGGACGGACCGGGUAUAUGGGAAACCCUACUGUGGAUGUUAUCUCAUAUCAGAUGGAGUAUUGAGGAGUGAUAUUUUGGCGUUCAUACCAGACAGGAUAUGGGAACGGCCCAAUUCACGCUCAUACCGGACGGAGUAUUGAGGGAUUGUAUUGUUGGCGCUCAUACCAGACGGGGUAUGGAGAUGGCUCGAUUCAACC